rnacentral:rRNA from 1 species
AGCAGCCGCGGUAAUUCCAGCUCCAAUAGCGUAUAUUAAAGUUGUUGCAGUUAAAAAGCUCGUAGUUGAAUUUCGGGGUCAGCAGGUUGGUCGUGCCUAUGGUAUGAACUGGCUUCGCUGGUCUCUCCUUUCUGAAGAACUGUAAUGCCAUUAAUUUGGUGUUGCAGGGACACAGGACUGUUACUUUGAAAAAUUAGAGUGUUUAAAGCAGGCUAACGCUUGAAUACAUUAGCAUGGAAUAAUGAAAUAGGACGUUCGAACCUAUUUUGUUGGUUUCUAGGAUUGACGUAAUGAUUAAUAGGGAUAGUUGGGGGCAUUAGUAUUCAAUUGUCAGAGGUGAAAUUCUUGGAUUUAUUGAAGACUGACUACUGCGAAAGCAUUUGCCAAGGAUGUUUUCAUUAAUCAAGAACGAAAGUUAGGGGAUCGAAGACGAUCAGAUACCGUCGUAGUCUUAACCAUAAACUAUGCCGACUAGGGAUCGGAUGAUGUUAAUUUUAAUGACUCAUUCGGACG